rnacentral:rRNA from 1 species
GACGGAGGAUGCAAGCGUUAUCCGGAAUGAUUGGGCGUAAAGCGUCCGCAGGUGGCAGUUCAAGUCUGCUGUCAAAUACCGGGGCUUAACUUCGGAAAGGCAGUGGAAACUGAACAGCUAGAGUAUGAUAGGGGCAGAGGGAAUUCCUGGUGUAGCGGUGAAAUGCGUAGAGAUCAGGAAGAACAUCGGUGGCGAAGGCGCUCUGCUGGACCAUAACUGACACUCAGGGACGAAAGCUAGGGGAGCGAAUGGG